rnacentral:rRNA from 1 species
GAUGAACGCUGGCGGCGUGCCUAAUACAUGCAAGUCGAGCGAACAGACGAGGAGCUUGCUCCUUUGACGUUAGCGGCGGACGGGUGAGUAACACGUAGGUAACCUACCUAUAAGACUGGGAUAACUUCGGGAAACCGGAGCUAAUACCGGAUAAUAUUUCGAACCGCAUGGUUCGAUAGUGAAAGAUGGCUUUGCUAUCACUUAUAGAUGGACCUGCGCCGUAUUAGCUAGUUGGUAAGGUAACGGCUUACCAAGGCAACGAUACGUAGCCGACCUGAGAGGGUGAUCGGCCACACUGGAACUGAGACACGGUCCAGACUCCUACGGGAGGCAGCAGUAGGGAAUCUUCCGCAAUGGGCGAAUGCCUGACGGAGCAACGCCGCGUGAGUGAUGAAGGUCUUCGGAUCGUAAAACUCUGUUAUUAGGGAAGAACAAACGUGUAAGUAACUGUGCACGUCUUGACGGUACCUAAUCAGAAAGCCACGGCUAACUACGUG